UACGUAGGGUGCGAGCGUUGUCCGGAAUUAUUGGGCGUAAAGAGCUUGUAGGCGGUUUGUCGCGUCUGCCGUGAAAAUCCGAGGCUCAACCUCGGACUUGCGGUGGGUACGGGCAGACUAGAGUGUGGUAGGGGAGACUGGAAUUCCUGGUGUAGCGGUGAAAUGCGCAGAUAUCAGGAGGAACACCGAUGGCGAAGGCAGGUCUCUGGGCCACUACUGACGCCGAGAAGCGAAAGCGUGGGGAGCGAACAGG
rnacentral:rRNA from 1 species